ACGGGGUGCAGCAGGCGCGAAACCUCCUCAAUGCACUAACGUGCGAAGGGGUUACCUCGAGUGCUAUCUGAAGAAGGUAGCUUUUCCAUGGUCUAAAAAGCCUNAGGGAAUAAGAGGGGGGCAAGACUGGUGUCAGCCGCCGCGGUAACACCAGCCCCUCGAGUGGUGGGGAUGAUUAUUUGGCCUAAAGCGUCCGUAGCCGACCGGGUAAGUUUCCCGUUAAAUCCAGUGUCUCAAGCAUUGGACCGCGGGAAAUACUGCCUGGCUAGAGAGUGGGAGAGGUCAGCGGUAUUCUGAGGGUAGGGGCGAAAUCCAUUGAUCCCCAGAGGACCACCAGUGGCGAAGGCUGUUGACUAGAACACGUCUGACGGUCAGGGACGAAAGCUGGGGUAGCGAACCGGAUUAGAUACCCGGGUAGUCCCAGCCGUAAACGAUGCAUGCUAGGUGUUGGGUUGGCCACGAGCCACCCCAGUGCCGCAGGGAAGCCGUUAAGCAUGCCGCCUGGGAAGUACGAUCGCAAGGUUGAAACUUAAAGGAAUUGGCGGGGGAGCACCACCAGGCGUGAAGCCUGCGGUUUA
rnacentral:rRNA from 1 species